CAGGGAGACAAAAACUGAUCGUGAUGUCUAAGUGAACUUAUUCUUAGACCAUGAUCCUGUCACCUUAGGUCGAUCGGUACCUCAGAUUGUGCAUAAAUCAAAUGUCAAUUGACAUUUGAUUUUGAAGCAUGAUUUCUGUUCCUAAACUUUGUCUAGGUCACACCCCACAAGGGUUACUCCUGGGCCAUUAGCUCAGGUGGUUAGAGCGCACCCCUGAUAAGGGUGAGGUCCCUGGUUCAAGUCCAGGAUGGCCCAUUCGGUUUUGGGGGUUUAGCUCAGUUGGUAGAGCGCCUGCUUUGCAAGCAGGAUGUCAGCGGUUCGAGUCCGCUAACCUCCACUGGCCGACCUCCUGUGACGGCCAAAUCUCUAGGGAGACUUGUGAGAUGUGACUUUGAUUUUUUUGCUGAUUUGAACCUAGCUUCUUUUCUUUAUAUUUGAUUUCUAUUCAAAAAUUAUUAGAAAGGAUGCUGGGCUCGCUGAAAUUCCUUAUAGGGAUUGCAGAGAACUCAGUAGAACCUUGACAACUGCAUAGGUGAGUCUGGAAAGAAUAAAGCAUCUCAUGGAUGCAUUUUCUUUUUCCAUUUAAGUUAAUUAAAUAGAAAAUUGAAAGUGUUUAAUCCUUGAGCAAGAGCUAAGACUCUAAAACAUAUCUUUUAUCUUUAUUCAAGAUAAAAGUCUGAUUAAAUUAUUCACUGAUUGUUUUAACAAAAGGUUUAUUUACAUAGUCUUUUGAAAACAAUAAACAAUGUUUAAGAAUGCGUUUUCAACAACGUAGAUAUAUGUUUUAGAGAACUAUAU
rnacentral:tRNA from 1 species